rnacentral:rRNA from 1 species
GCAUGCCUGUUCGAGCGUCAUUUCAACCCUCAAGCUCCGCUUGGUGUUGGGGCCCUACGGUCGACGUAGGCCCUUAAAGGUAGUGGCGGACCCUCCCGGAGCCUCCUUUGCGUAGUAACUAACGUCUCGCAUCGGGAUCCGGAGGGACUCUUGCCGUAAAACCCCCAACUUUUUACUGGUUGACCUCGAAUCAGGUAGGAAUACCCGCUGAACUUAAGCAUAUCAAUAAGCGGAGGAAAAGAAACCAACAGGGAUUGCCCCAGUAACGGCGAGUGAAGCGGCAACAGCUCAAAUUUGAAAUCUNGNCCCCAGGCCCGAGUUGUAAUUUGCAGAGGAUGCUUUUGGCGCGGUGCCUUCCGAGUUCCCUGGAACGGGACGCCAUAGAGGGUGAGAGCCCCGUCUGGUUGGACACCAAGCCUUUGUAAAGCUCCUUCGACGAGUCGAGUAGUUUGGGAAUGCUGCUCAAAAUGGGAGGUAUAUUUCUUCUAAAGCUAAAUAUUGGCCAGAGACCGAUAGCGCACAAGUAGAGUGAUCGAAAGAUGAAAAGCACUUUGAAAAGAGGGUUAAACAGCACGUGAAAUUGUUAAAAGGGAAGCGCUUGUGACCAGACUUGCGCCCGGUGAAUCACCAGCUCUCGCGGCUGGGGCACUUUGCCGGCACAGGCCAGCAUCAGCUCGCCGUCGGGGACAAAAGCUUGGGGAACGUAGCUCUCUUCGGGGAGUGUUAUAGCCCCUUGCAUAAUACCUUCGGCGGGCUGAGGUACGCGUUCGCAAGGAUGCUGGCGUAAUGGUCAUCAGCGACCCGUCUUGAAACACGGACCAAGGAGUCAACCUUAUGUGCGAGUGUUUGGGUGUCAAACCCCUACGCGUAAUGAAAGU